rnacentral:rRNA from 1 species
AGUGAACGCUGGCGGUAGGCCUAACACAUGCAAGUCGAACGGCAGCACAGUAAGAGCUUGCUCUUACGGGUGGCGAGUGGCGGACGGGUGAGGAAUACAUCGGAAUCUACUUUUUCGUGGGGGAUAACGUAGGGAAACUUACGCUAAUACCGCAUACGACCUACGGGUGAAAGCAGGGGAUCUUCGGACCUUGCGCGAAUGAAUGAGCCGAUGUCGUAUUAGCUAGUUGGCGGGGUAAAGGCCCACCAAGGCGACGAUCCGUUGCUGGUCUGAGAGGAGGAUCAGCCACACUGGAGCGUGACCACGGUCAUGACUCCUACGGGAGGCAGCAGUGGGGAAUAGUGGACAAUGGUCGCAAGCCUGAUCCAGCCAUACCGCGUGGGUGAAGAAGGCCUUCGGGUUGUAAAGCCCUCUUGUUGGGAAAGAAAAGCAGCAGGUUAAGACCCCGCUGUUCUGACGGUACCCAAUGAAUAAGCACCGGCUAACUUCGUG